GUGCAGCAGGCGCGAAUCUUCGGCAAUGGGCGAAAGCCUGACCGAGCGACGCCGCGUGCGGGAAGAAGGCCUUUGGGUUGUAAACCGCUUUUUCUCAGGGAACAAUCCCGCUUUAGCGGGAUGAGGGUACCUGAGGAAUAAGGGGGGCUAAUCGACGUGCCAGCAGCAGCGGUAAUACGUGACCCCCGAGCGUUAUCCGGAUUUUACUGGGCGUAAAGAGCCUUAAGGCGGA
rnacentral:rRNA from 1 species